GUACUUGUCUUAACCUGGUGGUGAAACAUGUAGUCAAACCCAGGUCUUUCUGGCUCUAGAAUACUAAGUCUGGACUGUACUGCUUUAGGUAGAAAUGGAUACAGAAUUUUGGAAGUUGGACACCCACACUUUCCGCUGCAAGAAGCAGAAUCACAGAAACGAGCCUCUCUUUCUCCUGCAGCGGGAGUGGGAGGGAACACCAUGGUUCAGGUCCGCAUGGCUAACCAGAACGCAAGGCUCCACUGGUCCUCCACAGAUGGACUCCUCUGAUUAAUUAUUGAACUCCUGCUUCCCCAGCCAACAAGAGAUGAAAAACUGGGAUAAAUGUGAAGAACAUGGUCUUGGGACAGAACAGGCAGCAGAGAAGAGACAGUUCAGAAAUGAGGGCAAAAACCUGCACUAGUUUCCUUGCUGGGCUUGCAUCUGGAGUCACUAUGCCUUUUUCACCUUCUGAUUGGUUGGAUUCCAAUUAAAUGGUGGUGCCUAUCUUAACCCCUGAAUCAAGCACUGGAAGACCUUUGAGAUGGACUUUUGAAAGUUUUUAAGGGAACUGUAAUGCGGGCUGUACUGACCUGCAGAAGAUGGUGCGACUGGAUCUGAAAGGUGGAUACUGGUGCCUCCGGACAACUGCCAAAGCAAGAAUAUGACCAUGAAGCAAAGAGAAGCAUAUCAUACAGGGAAAGCUAAGACUCGGACGGGAACUGUUUCCUGCUGCUGUAAGGGCAUACUCACUUCCGUACACUGAGCUACUGGGAGAACUGCACAGUCAGCCACUGCUGAAACAGGAGGUGGUGUUCAUUCUGAAAAUGAUCCAUGCUGUAAUGUCAUGAACCAGGAAGCUGGAAUCCUUUACCAGCUCUUUAUGCAAAUAUUUGGCUACAGCUUGAGUUGGAGGACUUGGAAGGAGUGGGUUUUAAAAAAUCUGUUUCAUUGUAGAGCUCUCUUUAACCCCAUUUCUCCCCUGGAUUGGCCUGUCUGCCUGCUCCCUGUUAUCCUGUUGUUAUCUCCCCGAGGCAUUUCCCAGCGGCGCACGGAUCCUGGGGGAGAGUCCGCGCAGCGCGAGCUCUGGGAAAAGCCGUCCGGAGGCUUCCGAGGACCGCGCAAUCGUUAGGAGGAGCCACCCCUGAGCUGGCUGGACCAGGCGGAUUGCCCCGGCGAGUCGAAAUGGCCAGAUGCGCGCCGCAGAGGUCUGCCGGAGGGACCCCAGCGCCGUGUAGGGAAGGCCACGGCCCUGCAGAGCUGCAGAAAAGCUGUGGAAAUACACCCUGAUCGAAAUGCCCCUGGCCCGCAUGAUCCGACCCCCAAAGAAGCAGCCGAAUUACCGGACAUCGUGGUCAGCAGGAACUGGGUCGCAGGCUGGAUGCUGCAGCUGCAGGAACUCUGCGCCUAGGAGGGCUCCUGUGCAGGGAGAAAGGCAGAGAUGCGACAUUUUUAAAGUUUCACAAAGCAUCUGGCUGCACCCAGGUCCCUGGAGCAGGAGACACACAGAAUUAAUGUUUUAUACCUUCGGGUAUAGGUUUGAGUUUUUCCCCCCUCAUGCCAAGUAUUUAAAACCUCUAGAAACCCAUGAUUUGACAAUCAAUGAUUGCGCGAUACUUUCAAUUUGAAUAUUCAAAGGCUUAACAAAAUGGACUAUCUUCUGCAGAAAUCCUGCAGACAGGCACCCCAUAGGGAGUCCAGAGAAACAGGGAGUGAGACCCCUUUAGGUCCUGACCCUUGCUUUUAUUGUAUUUUGAGCAUUUUGUCCACCUUCCCACAGACAGAGCAGGUGUCCUCAAAGAUGCUCUGUAUUUCUGCCUCAAAAAUAACUCAGAAGCCCAGAGUGACUUAGACUGACCCUCAUGACCACCUGAGCCAGGUUGGCUGGCCAGACUGAUUCCCACAUGCCCAAUCUCCAUUUAAGGGGAAAUCUCACGUUUUGGUGACUGAACAUGGCAACCCGUGGGUGUGGCCCAGCAAGGGGUCACUGUGGGCCCAGAUUGCAGGCCAGAGGACAGCAGAGGCCUUCCCUCUGCACUUUGUGUCUUUCUGGCUUCACCUGGCCACAUGUGGGCUUCCCUUCCCUUUUCAUUCUGCUGCCUUACUUGGUCCCAAACACUGAGGUUUCAACACUAAAUUCCUGCCCAUUAAGACCUUUUGAUCCAUUGCAUGUAUCUGGGGAUGCACAUGGGCCUCACCCAUGAACAGUUUUCUAAGGCUGGUAUUUCAUCACUGCACUGUGAGGUCCCUCCUUCUGCUCUUGUCUUUCUCCCUCUAGAGCUACUCCUGCCUUCUAGCUGUAGAAGCACCUGUAAGAAAUUGGUGACAAGCUGGGUGCCUGCUCAUUUUUGCUGAAAGGACAUGUUUUUUUUUUUUUUUUUUAAACUUACUUUGGGGUGAGAGGUGGAAGGGAUUUGAGGUCAGGCCAAACCCUUGAGCUAGGCCAAGCCCCUCACAAAUGACUUGAGGCUGUGCUAGCUAGCUCAUCUUCUCCAAGCACUGGCUGUGCCCCUUCCCUGUGAUUUGGAAGAUGGAAGAGAUAGGGCUAUGCCAGAGAGGGAGCAAAUCCUCUGUAGCAACACUAGGAGACAGGGGUUCCUUUGCAAAUAACCAGGAUAAUUCCCAGGAUAUCAGACCAAGUGAUUGUUAAAGCCCUCUGUUUUUUAAUCAUUCAUGAGUUCUCUAGGGUGAGGGAUUAUAAUUAGCCCCAAAGGCCUUCAGAAAAAUAUCUGAAUGUGCCCCAAAGUAUCAGAACAAGGGCAUCAUAUAGAACUCAAGGAAAGGGCAUCUCUGAAAAUGAUCAGUGUGCGACUAUGGUGAGUGUGAAUUGCUUGACAGCUGGAGCCAUAAGGUGGGGGGAAAAGGAUCAGGAAUGGGGAUUCCUGAGGUGGCUCCUGGCAGUAGAAGGCAGGAUGGAGGUGUUUGUCCCAAAUCCAUUUGGGAUAUAUCAGCAUUUGGAGCUUAUUUCUCCAAAGGCCCUGGGCCUGUGUCCUGAUAGAAGCUAGGCUUGAAGACCAGAUGUGAGGAAGGAAAGGGCAGGGGGAAUUGAGAAAGUCCCUAUCUCUGCAUUGUCCUGUCAUCUGCCAUGCCAGGGCACUGCUUGGAAUUAGGGAUGGUCUCUUGUCCUCAUAGCUUCUUCCAUUACUUUUAUCUUCUGUUUAUUUUUUGGUUUGCUUUUUAAACACCACCCCCCCCCCCACACACACACCAUUUUCCUUCGUCUCUCUUCCUAUAACUGCUUUCCUCAGUUUCUUGCCUGUGUUGCUGUUUUUCUCUCUGAUUCCCUAUGUUACCUCUAUUUCCCCAGUUCCAUAUUUUCAUGCUUGAUCUCCUUCCUAACCUUUCCUUUACACGUGGAGAUGGACAGAGAUGGCAGGAGGCCAUUCUGUUCCCUUGGCAACAUCAUGGAGGUUCUUAAUAAUGAUAGGCUACUCAUUAGAGAAGGCAUGUGAGACUUGGUGGGGGGUAUUCCUUGGAAAUCGUGGGGUCUGUAGGGACAGAAAAGAACCUGUGUCCUUUCUUCCAGAAGCCUCUGCCUGAGCCAUGGCAGCAGUCCUGGGGCUUUUGUGUUGGCUCCUGUUGCUGGGAUGAACAUCAAGUUGCUGGUCAAUAACUUCAGAAAAUUAAAUUUCCCCAUGCCUGACCCCUGUUUGAGGAAGAACCCCUUCCCUUCCCCACACUCUAUUCUGGUUGUUAGCCCAAUAAUAAGGAGUUUUGGUUUCUGAUGUUUCUGUAACUGCAAAAUCCCAGCACAGGUAUUUAAGAGUCAAACUCCAUGCUUGUGCAGGUAGGGAACAAUCUUUUCUAAAUAGAUCCUGGACUCCUCCUUAUAAAUCUGCAUGUAUGCUGACACCUGAGCAACCAACUGCUUCUACCCCAAGAACCCCAGAAACCCAUAAAAAUGGGUAAUCCUCACAGAUUUUUUGGGGGAUACUAGGGAUUGAACUCAGGGGCACUAGACCACUGAGCCACAUCCACAGCCCUAUUUUGUAUUUUAUUUAGAGACAGGGUCUCACUGAGUUGCUUAGCACCUUGCUUUUGCUGAGGCUGGCUUUGAACUCGUGGUCCUCCUGCCUCAUCCUCUCGUGCCACUGGGAUUACCAGUGUGCACCACUGUGCCUGGCCUCAUAGACUCUUUAAAGUUCUCAUCUGUUGUUCAUUGAUGUCAGGCACUGUGUUGUAUGGUUCCUCCAUUUUAUAGACAAGGAAGCAGGCUUUCCAAGAUGAUUGAGCACAUCAGUGGUGGAAUUGGGAUUCAUAUUUUAAUAAGUCUAACCCAGGGCCCUUGGUGUUAACUACAAUUGUUGUCUUUCUUAUCUUUUAUAACAGAAGCUCUUAAAUUUUCUGGACUUUAGCCCACAAGAAAUUCACACAUAUCUGCAACAAUAUCUACAUUUAUAAAACAAACUAUCCAUGAAACAAUGUAUAUUUAUGCAUGUGAGGCACUCUGAUAUUUUCUAAUAUAUUCCAGCUUUUUCAUUUCAUUCUGUAUGAGAAAUAGAUGUUGAUUGGGAGUUGCUAAGGUAAUUUAAUGUUACCCUCUCAUGAGUUGUAAGUAGCAUUGGAAAAGUGGCACUCUUAAGAUAUGCACACACAUCUCUGUGUUGUGCUCGUGGGAGUGUUUUGGUGUGUAGUUUAUUUGUGCAAGGAGUCAAAGAUGGUACAACAUACUGACUUGAGAGUAUUCUGGAAAUGCUGGAACCCUGAAGAAGAGACUGGCUGGAGAUGAGGAUGAGCUGUUAAUUAUGCUUCUUAACCAUCUGUGCUUCUCAGUCUGGAACCCUCUUGCUGGAAACACUGUCACUUCUAGGGUGUCUGCCCUGAAGUCCUGAUAAUCCCUUUGGAGUUUUGAUUAAAAACAAUAAAAACUGAAAAACUGUGGGUUUUAAUCCACUAUACCAGGCUCUUUGGCUUGAAAAUAUAACAUUGGACUCAAUAUUUGGUGUUAGGAAGACUCUUUGAAGUAGGAGGGACUUAGAGUCUUUUCCCAAUAUCUCUGCUGAUAGCUAUUUAGCCUCUGGCUUCAUUGCUUGGCUGAGAGCCUGGCUCAUAGCAGAAUCUGUAUAGAGGAAAUGAGAGCUCAUUAUUUAUAAGGCAACCCAUUCCAAGAUUGGAUUGGAACAGUCUAAGUCCAAUAUGGUGAUCAGUGAUUGAGCCAUAAUUCAAUUAGGUAUUAAUUGAGGAGCACUAUGUACCAGGCAUGGUAUCAAACACCAGGAAUACAAAGAAAUAAGUCCUGGUUUUUGCUGUCAAUGGCUCUGUUCUCUCACUUCCACAUGAGUGCUUUUCUGUUACAACUUUGUUUAGUUCAUUCAUUCAUUGAAUUAUCUGUUCUGCCCCUGUCUAAUGCUCAUAUGAGGAAGUUAUCAUGCCUACUCUCUACCCAAGCUUUCUGUUCUUGAGGCCACCACCUGCAGUUUCUCUAGCUCUUCAUAAAUCUGUUUUUCAGGUCUCUGGUUGUCCUUUCCACUGAGCUCAGAAAUCCUUCAGUUUGUCAUUGACCAUCUUAAAGUCAGUCAGCGGUACCAGAAUCAAUAGAAUAGAUUUGCUUUUGAAGUUUUAAACUGAAUAUUUUAACUAAAAAAAAAAACUUUGGUAGUCAUUAGUAUGAAAAUGAAACUACAAAGCAUUACGUUUUUCUCCCAAAUUAGGAGGUUUUAUAAUACUUAGGUACCGGCAUAUUCAAAGACUUUCAGUAUAUGGAAAAGGGAUAGUUUAUUCCCUCCAAAUUUGACUACAGCUCUAAAUUUUCCUUAUUAAUGCAAAGUUCCUUUGUCACCUUGAGUUUGGACACUGUUACCAUAUUUCUUGUGGGAAAUAUCAAGUUCCAAAAAUUGAAUACAUGGAGGAAACAGGUAAGUAUUAAGCCUUAGAAUGAACAUUUGACCCAUAUGAAAAUGAACAGGAAGUCUACUAGGUGAAAGCUAUUCAAUGGUUUGUCAAUCUCUUCCCACAAGACACACUUGAAGUUUUAACUUUUUUCCUUUCAAAGUUUCCAUGAGGAACAAAUACCUGAUAAUUUAUCCCUUAAAAAAUGACAUCAUAUUAUUCACUUCUUAAAAAAUUCAUCUUUUACUUACAACAUUUUUAUUAUGCAAUAUUUGAGACAUACAAAAAUACAUCAAGAAGAUUGUUUUGAAACCAAUUCUAUGUAUAACCAUAAAACUAUAUUUAAAGAAAGAAUACUGUGAUGAAAAUCUAUGAAUGUAUCACCAAGGUUAAGAAAUAAAAUGGUUGAAUGUUCUUUUAUUUUUGACUAAAUUAAUUUAUUAAGCAUUGAAACUUGAGUUUUUCCACUCAAAAUACUUUGUUAGGGGAAAGGUUAGCAGGACCACCUAUCAAUUUUACCAGUGAAAAAUAACUAAUUCCUAGAUAUUAUUAUUAUUUUGGUUCCUAUUGUUUUUCCUUUUGGAAUAUGUAACAUUUUUACUGUUUUCUUUUUUUCCUAAUGUACUGAAAAUUACAUUGCAUAUUGCAAACCUACAUUAUUAUUUAAUAGGGGUCAAUGGUUGUAGGGCACUUCUGUAUCAAGAAUCAAAUAUAAUGUGGUAUCAUCAUUUGCAAAUUACUGUAGAAGGUUUUAUUAUUAUUUAUUCAGUUUGACCCUGGGGGAUUCUACUUUCUGAUUUGUUUAUCAUACUUGUUUUAAUAGCACUAGAGAUAAUACCAAGCAACAAAUAAUUUUUAUUUAAAAGUCUUAUUGAUAUAGUCAUGCCAAUGCUAAAUGAACUUUCAGUAUUUUCCUGUGCUAUUUCAAAAGUUCAGUCAUUUCCUUUCUUAAAGACAUUUAAAAACACUAAAUCAAUUAUCUUAAAUAUGUAACUACUAAAGCCCAAAAUCCAACUAGUGUCUGAAUUUGCAGAACUUGUCUACUGGAGAGAAUUUUCUCAUUUACUGGUUUCAGGGAGCUAUCAUCUACUGAGUCAAGGACUAAAUAGUUGUUCAUCUUUGUGGUCUAGUUUUAGCUCAACCUACCAUACAUUUAGUGAACACCUACAACAUGCAAAGCCCUGAGCCAGGUGCUGGAGAAACAGUGAUGAGCCCUCCAUGUGUCCUUCCUUGUUUCUUUAGCUAGUGAAUCACUUUCUUUAGAGUGUGUGAUUUUGCACUUAACUUUUCUAGAGUCAAUAGGUGGUGAGUAUGGUGUGUGAAAAGAAUAGUACAAUAUUGUUUUGAAUAGAAAGUAUACUUUAGACAGAACCCAGUGAUUGAAACCAAUGGAUAAAUGUAAUUUUGGUGUGUGGUUGACAGAAUCACUAUAAUGCAAUGUGAAUUAAACCUUGGACAUCAAUUGUUAUUUUGGUACUUUAAAUAUAACUGAUGUUUAAUUCCUUUUGACUAUAUCAUUUAGAUUUACAUUUUGAAAAUGGAUUACAAAGAUACUUUUCUGUGUAUAUAUGUAAAUAUAUAUUUUACUAUUGGGGUUAGUAAUUCUUUUCCCUUUGUAGAAUUUCCUUUGGAGCACUUCAUUCUUCUUCCUCUACCACAAGUACCAUGACAUUGUAUUAUUAACUGAGCUGUGGCAGGUCAUAAUGAUCAUUUAAAAGUAUUAUUAAAUAAACAAGGUAAAGAUGUGG